CACACAGUAAUACGCUGUUGGAGACUAGGGAGAAGCCUUAUAGCUCAAUUUGUAUACUUGCAUUGACUACUUCUAUUUAUAAAUAUUUAUUAUCUGUUUUUGUCCUGUAUAUGUAAUUCUGUUGCACAGCAGAAGCUCUGUCACGAAAAUAAAUUUCUCGUAUGUGUGGACAUGCUGCAUACACACACAAGGACACAUUGCCGUCACAGGACGUAGCCUAGAAGUGCUCCGGCAUCCUCUGGAUCACAGCCGCCCAAGUUCCAUGCAUACAAAUGAGGUCAGGGGUCAGCAGCGAAGCGUGACCUGCAGGACAGACAGACGGCUGGAAGGGAAUGUGAACGGCCUCUCUGGGGAUUCGGCCUUCAUGCAAGCUAAGGAAGUAAAGGAGAAGCUCGUCCCAUCAACGACUGGAGCCUCCAAAGCAAAGAAGCCGCAGCUGCCCAGAGAGAUGCAACAUGAGACCAGUGGAGGCCUGUGAUGAGCAGCCUGUGGAAUUGGAGAGCGGGUGCGAUGGAGUCAGUGCGUUCCAGGGAAGAUGUGUAACAUUGCCCGCUUUGAAACUGGAGUUGACGAGAAGUGGGAACAAGGUGGAGUUUGCAUUAAAGGAAGAGGGUUCCUUGUGCAGCUCAUAAAGAUCCCGGAACCAUUUAAGGGCAACUUUAUGGCUGAGAGUGCAAUCAAUGGGCCUGUUUCCACUUUGUGUUUAUAUUUGUGUUUUCAGACUUCAUUAAGACCCUUCAAAGAAUUAAUCUCCAUGGAUCACCUCAAAAUAUAAAUUAUAUCAUCAUUUAUUCACCCUUUACUUGUUUCAGAUCUUUAAUUGUGAGUAUUUUUCUUGUGUAAGAUAUGAAAUAAGAUAUUUUGAAGAAAUCUGGAAACCUGUAAUCACUGACUUGCAAAAUAUUAUCCCAGGUAGCUAAGAAUUUUGGCCCAGAUUUGGCAUUAAGCUGGCCCAGCAGGCAUUCAUCUGGCACUGGCAUACAGCAUGAGCAUGUGGGCAGAGAUGGCACCAUCUUUAAAGUAUCAGACAAGAUUUGGGCCAGAUGUAAGAUGUCUUGGCCCAUAUUUAAAAUACUUGAAAAUAAUUUUUUAGGAAAGAAAAUAAUGCUACCAAUUAGGUCGCUUUGAGAAAAAGCAUGCACAUAGUGUGCUUAAAGUGCAAUGCUUCAUGGGUUUAUCAAUUUCAUUGCAAUCGUGACGCACCAACCUAUCUGGCCCAGUUCAGGCCCAGUUAUGAGUUAAUAACUUGGCUGUGACUUGACCCAUAUAUGGUGCAUGUUUGGCCCAUGUCUGGAAGUCAUGUACAGUAAUUCAUUGCGGCAUGUGGGCAAAGCAAAACCUGAUUGUGUGGGCCAGAGAUAUUUUGUUAUGUGGGAUGAAAGUCAAUGGUUACACGUUUUCAGCUUUCAAAAUAUUCUUUUGUGUUCAACCGAAGAAAGAAACCAAUAAAGGUUUGGAACCA